AUUGAACGCUGGCGGCAUGCUUUACACAUGCAAGUCGAACGGUAACAGGCCGCAAGGUGCUGACGAGUGGCGAACGGGUGAGUAAUGCAUCGGAACGUGCCCAGUCGUGGGGGAUAACUACUCGAAAGAGUAGCUAAUACCGCAUACGAUCUAUGGAUGAAAGCGGGGGACCGUAAGGCCUCGCGCGAUUGGAGCGGCCGAUGUCAGAUUAGGUAGUUGGUGGGGUAAAGGCUCACCAAGCCAACGAUCUGUAGCUGGUCUGAGAGGACGACCAGCCACACUGGGACUGAGACACGGCCCAGACUCCUACGGGAGGCAGCAGUGGGGAAUUUUGGACAAUGGGCGCAAGCCUGAUCCAGCAAUGCCGCGUGCAGGAAGAAGACCUUCGGGUUGUAACUGCUUUUGUACGGAACGAAACGGCUCUGGUUAAUACCCGGGGCUAAUGACGGUACCGUAAGAAUAAGCACCGGCUAACUACGUG
rnacentral:rRNA from 1 species